CGCGUAGGCGGUGAAUUGGGUGUGGUGUGAAAGCCCCGGGCUUAACCUGGGAAGUGCAUCGCAAACUAAUUGACUGGAGUAGGUGAGAGGGUGGCGGAAUUUCCGGUGUAGCGGUGAAAUGCGUAGAGAUCGGAAGGAACGUCAAUGGCGAAGGCAGCCACCUGGCAUCAUACUGACGCUGAGGCGCGAGAGCGUGGGAGCGAACA
rnacentral:rRNA from 1 species